UGAGGGAAACAGUGUUUUUUCAGUUCAGCAAUGGUUAAGUAAAGAAACCAUAAUGCUAACAUGAAUGUUGUCAGUGGGACUUUGGACCAACAAAUAAAUCAUUUUAAAGAACUGGUGCUCAAGUACAAAAAAACUGCAGCUUGAAAACUGUUAUCUUCAUGAAUGCCUGAAAUGUGAGCAUGUUCCCAAAGGUCGGCGCAUGUGGAAGUAUCCCACAGGACUAGUCAAGAGCUCACAAUUACACCAGGACUUUUUAAAACUAUUUAACAGGCAAGGUGGAUGUAAAAGGUCUCACAGCACCUACCACCAACACAAGCAAAUGGGGCAUCAACUUAACAUCUCAUCUGAAGGAAGACACUCUCAGGAAUGCAGCACCCUUCUACUGUACUGCAGUGCCAGAAAUCCAUCUACAUGCUGUGAAAGUAGAACAAACAGCUUUCUGUACUAAAG